GAUGAACGCUAGCGGGAGGCCUAACACAUGCAAGCCGAGCGGUAUUUGUUCUUCGGAACAGAGAGAGCGGCGCACGGGUGCGGAACACGUGUGCAACCUGCCUUUAUCUGGGGGAUAGCCUUUCGAAAGGAAGAUUAAUGCCCCAUAAUAUAUUGAGUGGCAUCACUUGAUAUUGAAAACUCCGGUGGAUAGAGAUGGGCACGCGCAAGAUUAGAUAGUUGGUGAGGUAACGGCUCACCAAGUCAAUGAUCUUUAGGGGGCCUGAGAGGGUGAUCCCCCACACUGGUACUGAGACACGGACCAGACUCCUACGGGAGGCAGCAGUGAGGAAUAUUGGACAAUGGGUUAGCGCCUGAUCCAGCCAUCCCGCGUGAAGGACGACGGCCCUAUGGGUUGUAAACUUCUUUUGUAUAGGGAUAAACCUACUCUCGUGAGAGUAGCUGAAGGUACUAUACGAAUAAGCACCGGCUAACUCCGUG
rnacentral:rRNA from 1 species